GCGUAGGAAUCUACCUAGUAGUACGGAAUAGCCAUUAGAAAUGGUGGGUAAUACUGUAUAAUCCCCGAGGGGGAAAGAUUUAUCGCUAUUAGAUGAGCCUACGUUAGAUUAGCUAGUUGGUGAGGUAAUGGCUUACCAAGGCUAUGAUCUAUAGCUGGUCUGAGAGGACGAUCAGCCACACUGGAACUGAGAUACGGUCCAGACUCCUACGGGAGGCAGCAGUGGGGAAUAUUGGACAAUGGGCGAAAGCCUGAUCCAGCUAUGCCGCGUGAGUGAAGAAGG
rnacentral:rRNA from 1 species